GGAGGGAUGCUGGAGUGGUCGAACAGGCACGCCUGGAAAGCGUGUAAGGGGGAAACUCCUUCGAGGGUUCGAAUCCCUCUCCCUCCGCCA
rnacentral:tRNA from 1 species